rnacentral:rRNA from 1 species
UACAGAGGGGGCAAGCGUUAUUCGGAAUUAUUGGGCGUAAAGGGCGCGUAGGCGGCUUUGCAAGUGACGGGUGAAAUCCCACGGCUUAACCGUGGAACUGCCUGUCAGACUGCAUGGCUUGAGACCAGGAGAGGUGAGUGGAAUUCCCAGUGUAGCGGUGAAAUGCGUAGAUAUUGGGAGGAACACCAGUGGCGAAGGCGCUCACUGGACUGGUACUGACGCUGAGGCGCGAAAGCCAGGGGAGCAAACGGG